rnacentral:rRNA from 1 species
GACGAACGCGGCGGCGUGCCUAAUACAUGCAAGUCGAACGAGAGCGACCGGUGCUUGCACUGGUCAAUCUAGUGGCGAACGGGUGAGUAACACGUGGGUAACCUGCCCAUCAGAGGGGGAUAACAUUCGGAAACGGAUGCUAAAACCGCAUAGGUUCUACAGUCGCAUGACUGAAGAAGGAAAAGAGGCUUCGGCUUCUGCUGAUGGAUGGACCCGCGGUGCAUUAGCUAGUUGGUGAGGUAACGGCUCACCAAGGCCGUGAUGCAUAGCCGGCCUGAGAGGGUGAUCGGCCACAUUGGGACUGAGACACGGCCCAAACUCCUACGGGAGGCAGCAGUAAGGAAUCUUCCGCAAUGGACGCAAGUCUGACGGAGCAACGCCGCGUGAGUGAAGAAGGAUUUCGGUUCGUAAAACUCUGUUGUUAGAGAAGAACAGCGCAUAGAGUAACUGUUAUGCGUGUGACGGAUCUAACCAGAAAGCCAUG